GUUAAGUCCCGCAACGAGCGCAACCCCUAUUUCUAGUUACUACCAGGUUAAGCUGAGGACUCUAGAGAGACUGCCGGUGACAAACCGGAGGAAGGUGGGGAUGACGUCAAGUCAUCAUGGCCCUUAUGUCCUGGGCUACACACGUACUACAAUGGUCGGUACAAAGCGAGGCGAAACCGCGAGGUGGAGCAAACCGCAGAAAGCCGAUCACAGUUCAGAUUGGAGUCUGAAACUCGACUCCAUGAAGGUGGAAUCGCUAGUAAUCGCGCAUCAGCAUGGCGCGGUGAAUACGUUCCCGGGCCUUGUACACACCGCCCGUCACACCACCCGAGUUGGGGGUACCCGAAGUCGGUCGUCUAACCGUAAGGAGGACGCUGCCGAAGGUACGCCUGGUAAGGGGGG
rnacentral:rRNA from 1 species